rnacentral:rRNA from 1 species
AUUGAACGCUGGCGGCAGGCUUAACACAUGCAAGUCGAGCGGAGCGAGGGUGCUUGCACCUUAGCUUAGCGGCGGACGGGUGAGUAAUGCUUAGGAAUCUGCCUAUUAGUGGGGGACAACAUUCCGAAAGGGAUGCUAAUACCGCAUACGCCCUACGGGGGAAAGCAGGGGAUCUUCGGACCUUGCGCUAAUAGAUGAGCCUAAGUCGGAUUAGCUAGUUGGUGGGGUAAAGGCCUACCAAGGCGACGAUCUGUAGCGGGUCUGAGAGGAUGAUCCGCCACACUGGGACUGAGACACGGCCCAGACUCCUACGGGAGGCAGCAGUGGGGAAUAUUGGACAAUGGGGGGAACCCUGAUCCAGCCAUGCCGCGUGUGUGAAGAAGGCCUUUUGGUUGUAAAGCACUUUAAGCGAGGAGGAGGCGCUCUAGGAUAAUACCCUAG